ACCUAUAUAUUUCUUAACACAUUUGCAAAUCCUAGAAUUAGACCACUGUGACUCACAUAGAGCAUGUGUAGGUUUUUUCUUUGUUAAAAAUGAACAUAAUUAUGAUUUAACCACAUGGAAGUUACUGUUCAAUGUUAAUAUUAUAAUGAUACCAGAAGAUACAUUUAAAAUUUCAUUAUUUGCCUUUUAGUUAUCCAAGCAUUGGGUGAACAUCUUAAAUUAAGACAACAAGUUAUUGCCACUGCUACAGUAUAUUUCAAGAGAUUCUAUGCCAGGUAUUCUCUGAAAAGUAUAGAUCCUGUAUUAAUGGCUCCUACAUGUGUGUUUUUGGCAUCCAAAGUAGAGGAAUUUGGAGUAGUUUCAAAUACAAGAUUGAUUGCUGCUGCUACUUCUGUAUGUAAGUGCAAAAAGUAUAUCUGCUUUAAGGAUGUAAUUCUAAAGAAAGCUCCAGAGUACAUAGAUUCUUUUUUUUAGUUUA
rnacentral:sRNA from 1 species